UAAGGAAUAUUGGACAAUGGAGGCAACUCUGAUCCAGCCAUGCCGCGUGAAGGAAUAAGGCCCUAUGGGUUGUAAACUUCUUUUAGACGGGACAAAACCCCUUUACGUGUAAAGGGUUGAUGGUACUGUCAGAAUAAGCAUCGGCUAACUUCGUGCCAGCAGCCGCGGUAAUACGAAGGAUGCAAGCGUUAUCCGGAAUUAUUGGGUUUAAAGGGUGCGUAGGCGGACUAAUAAGUCAGUGGUGAAAGCCUGCAGCUUAACUGCAGAAUUGCCAUUGAUACUGUUAGUCUUGAGUACAGUUGAGGUAGGCGGAAUGUGUCAUCUAGCGGUGAAAUGCUUAGAUAUGACACAGAACACCGAUUGCGAAGGCAGCUUGCUAAGCUGUAACUGACGCUGAGGCACGAAAGCGUGGGGAGCAAACA
rnacentral:rRNA from 1 species